CGGGGAUAACAGGCUGAUCUUCCCCAAGAGUCCAUAUCGACGGGAUGGUUUGGCACCUCGAUGUCGGCUCGUCGCAUCCUGGGGCUGGAGUCGGUCCCAAGGGUUGGGCUGUUCGCCCAUUAAAGCGGUACGCGAGCUGGGUUUAGAACGUCGUGAGACAGUUCGGUCCCUAUCCGCUGUGCGCGUAGGAGUCUUGAGAAGGGCUGUCCCUAGUACGAGAGGACCGGGACGGACGAACCUCUGGUGUGCCAGUUGUUCUGCCAAGGGCAUGGCUGGUUGGCUACGUUCGGGAGGGAUAACCGCUGAAAGCAUCUAAGCGGGAAGCCUGCUUCGAGAUGAGGACUCCCACCCACUUGAUGGGGUAAGGCUCCCAGUAGACGACUGGGUUGAUAGGCCGGAUCUGGAAGCACGGUAACGUGUGGAGGUGACCGGUACUAAUAGGCCGAGGGCUUGUCCUCAGUUG
rnacentral:rRNA from 1 species